UUUGAUUUUUAGUCCUUACGAUUCAUACUGCGUUUGGUUUUGUUUUUUGCCUUGGUAUGAAUAAAAACCCUAAAAUCGUUUUUGAAGUUUUCCUGGCUCUUUGCUGAAAACGGCAUGGAUCGUGGUCUUACUUUUGGUACCUUUUCCAUAAAUGGGUGUUACUGGGUGUUACUGUGUUUUCAGAUCUGACUUAUUCCUUUUAUUAAUUUUGCUUUUGGGCCUAUCUCAAACAGUUGGUUUCUUCAUUUUGGUAAAUUUUUGUGCGGUUGCUGUGUUUCCUUAUAUAGGAAAUGCUUUACCCUUUCAUUCUAUACUCUCUUGUCUUCUUCUUCUUUUAUUGACAAUAUCAUUCAGUCAUUCUUUGGGACAUAGAAAUUGACAGAAGAGAGUGAGCACACAGAGGCACUUGUAUAAGUCUAUACUUUUGCUUUUGCGUGCUCACUCCUCUUUCUGUCAUCUUCCAGUGCCGGAAUUUGAUUUUUUGGUCAUUUCUCGGCCUGUUUUGUUCCAUACACAACUCCCAUCUCUUAUCUCCCUUGCUAACUUACUUUCCCUUCUCUUUCUAUCUCUCAUUCUUGAGAUCCGUCUCCUCUCUGGGACAGGGGAGAAGUUGAAUACGACGCCAGUGAAGAUACUCUAUUCGAAGAGGAAUAUAGUGUACCUAACAAAAACCUGCCUGUGUCUUUCAUUUAUUGCCUAUAGUUAUAGCUCUCAGUACGAUUAAUUUAUGCUUUUAAAUCCAUUUUAAAUACAAUUAAUAGCUUCAAAGCGUGGCUUUUGAUGUUAUUCACUGUUGAGAUACGCCUGAUUAUUUUGCGGAUUCAGCGGCCAAACUAUGAAUAGCAUGGGACCAUUCUUCGUUAUCCAUUGCCAAUUAGUAACUAGUAUGGUCCUUCUCCUCACUCAACAAACACUCUUCUUUUUUCUGGUUUACUUCUUGUUAGUUCUAUCUUCUCCAUAUUUUCUUUUUUUAAUUCCUGCGCAUGCGAUCAUAUUCACCCACAAAUUUUUCCUGAUUGGAGUUUGCUAUCACCUGAAUCUAGCAGAAUCAGGUUGCUUGUACGAUCUCAGUUGCAAAUGGAGUUUCCUAUUCGUGAGUUUAAUUAUAACCCUAUCCUUAUAACGGUAAAGUAGCUCGUUUAACUCUCUGAGAAGGGAUGUUCUCCAGGGUUGAUGUUCCAUUGCCCCUUGUAGAGUUUGAUCAUUACCCUCUUUGUAGUGCAGCUCCCCUGGAAGAAUCAUCUGCCCUCAGUGGAUGACUAGAUAUGAAUUGGGUCCUCUCAUUUAGUUGUUCCAUCAGCAUAUAAUUUGGUAUUAUGGGGGUAUCAUACACCAAAUUGUGAACUCCUCAAAUCUGGUUCAAGACUUCAAAACAAGGACAAGAUCCGUGUAGAAAUCUUGAUUUGCUCCAUAUUGGAAUUCUUUGUUUGAAUAGUGAUAUCAAGGACAUUAGGUUUUCCAUGUUCUGAUAUGGGGUUUGCCUAUUAUUUCUCACUCUGACCACUUUUCGUCGCUGGGAUUUGGAAGCAUCAGACAUAUUUUGUGGAAUUUUAUGGCCUAUAUCUUGAAAAUAUCUGAACAAUUGCAUGUGCUUCAUGUUACCUGGGUGUAUUUGACAGUUAUGAAAGCAGAAAAGUAAUAAUAAAAGAAAACGUUGACGUUGACAGUGCUACUAAUCGAUAACAAGACUACUUCUCUAUAGACAGUUGUGAAGCUUCAGUUUUAACUCUCUUGAGACUACAGAUCUGAGAUGGAAGCAUCGACAACUAAGAUUCUGAUGAUUGAUUUCUACAGACUAAACUGCUAUUGUUGAAAGCCAAUUAUCUUCAAUUCACGAGGCACUACUUCCAGAAGAUAAUCUGUUUUUUCAGCCAAAAGCUAUGAUAAUUGUUGUUAGAUGAGUUAUUUUAGGAUCAUAAAUGGAUGUUUUGUUGAGAUGCACCUGUGAAUAUUUUAGUUUUGCCCCCAACAGCAUUACAGCAAAAAAGGGUACAAAAUUUCUACAGCUCUUCCCUUGUUUCUCUGAGCUAUGAUGAACUAGGGAUUUUGGCGGGUUCGGAUCUUUUUUUUGGGCCCACUAUAAUUGGACCCAUAUCAGGAUUGAUACCCAUUUGAUGGGCUGGUAAAUAAAAGUUUAAUGGGCCCACUCUAUUCCAGUCCAUUUUCC